AUAGGCAUCAAAAAAUUCUAGCAAGGCGGGGGGUGGGGAGGUCUUUCAGAAAACCUAGCGCCAGUCGUUGCCUUGCACUGUUGGACCUCACAGAUCCCAGGUUUUCCCCUGCUUCGCCGGGGCGACGACAAGUAGAGGAGGAGGAAGAUCCUUGUUUCUCUUCAAUUCGCACACUCACACAACUGUUAGGGUUUCUCAUUCAUCCAUCCUCGGGUCUGUCCCCAUACACAACCUCCGGCCGAUCGUUGAACCCUCCCGUCACGUAGAACAGAGUCGCCGGCGUCUUGAGCCCAUCACGCAGGUCACAGGCACGCUCGGCUCCCCCAAUCGCUCCACCAAAGGCAAAAAUUCGAGAUUCGUAGGAGCGUUUUCUCGGGUCUGAACAAGGCCGAAGAAGGCAAGAGCCAGAUAUUACUCUCGGAGCUCCUCUAUUCUUCUCUGACCAGAAACAGAUUCACCACAGGAACGCCGAGGGAGUUUCCAGAAGCGAAGGUGAGCAUUUCGGUGAUGGUGCUGACCCACGGCAGCAAGAGCACAACAAAGUGUUUGACGAAUUUUUUCGGUGCCAGGAAGGGGGUUACGAUUGAGGAGGUGGAGGGCGAAAAGGCCUCCCAAGCUGUGGAAGAGGAGGAUCAUCGGUUUUCCGCCAUUGGAGGAGCUUGCUUCUUUGAUUAGAUCUUUCAAGAUUUGCAGGAACUUGGAACCGACAAGGGGUAGCACAGAACAACAAUUUGUGACAAAAUGGCGAGUCGUCGCCGUUGAGGACGGAUCACGAAAACUGCACGCCAUCGUUGUUCAAGGAGUCGCCAAACAAUGCAGGAGUCCCAGAUAGGAGAGCGGGAAAAGCCCCACUAACAUAGUGUGGUUUAUUUGCCCUUUUUGAAGGGCUUGUGCUGUAUGUUUGAUAUACCCUGGUACCCACGAGUUCAGGUAGAUUGUGACAUGCUGAGCUGAAAAGAGAGAUCGAAGAUUUGAGACUACCACGACGCUCCCGGCGAAGUUCUCUACAAGUCUGCCGGAGCUGAUCGUGGGGAAAACGAAAUUGGAUUUCAUCCCAAAUUCAGGGGUGUUGUGUAGGAGGCCCUGCGGGAGUUAGGCUAAUACUCCAUAGGGGCUUUCCAGUAGUCAGGGAAAGGUGAAAGAUAAAGGAAAGAUUCAUUGGCGCUCUAGGGGGAGAAUUUGAAAACCUACCUCGGAAGGGGGUUUGGGCCUGAGAGAUCUUAAGGAAGUUUAGAAAUCUCUUCUCAUGAAAUUUGCCUUCAGAUUGCUCACUUUUAAAAAUCUGUGGGCAGGUUUUUUCAGGACUAAAUAUUGUAGAAAUGAUCAUUUAUUAAUAAGGAAGGGGAGAACAAAUGACUCGAUUUUGGAAAUCAAUUAUGGCCACCAUUCCAGAAAUAUGGAUAAUGUUAAAAUUUUGGUCAGUGUUGGGAACUCUUCUCUUUGGUUCAACAAGUGGCUGUCAUCAAGCUCGUUAUCUGUGAGCACUGAGGAUAUUUUGAAUAAGAAAUUGUGUAUUAAGGAUUGCUGACUAAAUAAUAAUUAGAACUUUGAUUUAGUA